UUUACCUUGAGUCUUGAGUGAGGUAUCCUGCGCACAUGGCGUGUGUGGAAGGUCUCUAAAGCUGUUCCAUCUGGCGUUGUUCGGGCUAACCUUGGUCCAUAAUAGGCGGCACGUUAUAGAGGAUUGUUGUAAGGUGAAAUUUGCCCAAAGGAAUUGAAAGGAAGAUGGCACGUGAGGCCAGGAAAUACCUAAAGAUGGUGAGCUGACAAGUUUCAGAGAGAAAUUAAAAGACCCAGGCUGACAGGGUCAAACAAGCAAAGGCCAGGGCUGCAAAGUUGUAAAAGCCUUUGAAAAUGAUUCAAACAAGAAAGAUCAUCUGCAGGUUUCUUGCCAAGAAGUGACAUGUAAAGGAACUCCUGUUGAAAGGAAGACCUUUUCUGGAAAAGGAAAAUUCAUCAAAAAAACGUUCUAUAAAAACAAUAAACAUCUCAAAAUAAUUUCACAAUGGCAUCCACAGAUGCAUGAUUCAAAUCAAAUUUUUCCAAGCAGAAAUAUUGCAAUAGAUGUGAUCUGCACACAGCAUGGAAGCUUUAGGAAAACUUUUUUUUCUUUGAAAAGAGAGCAUUUUACUGUUUGAAUCAGCCACUUUAUGCUGCUGAAGGGCCGCUAAAUUUGCGAAGCGAGCACGCUCUUGAGUCCUGUAGCAGAAUGAUGUAACGUACAAUGGUGGAUCGAUGGGAUGGCAGAAUAUCUUAAGACGUGGAAUGACAAGUUUAUCUUAAAACACAGUAUGCCUUUAUGUAUGAAACAAAAGCCUAAAAAUUGGCAGUGCAAUAAAACAAGAAAAUAUUUUACAAUUGA